UUGAUUAAUAAAACAUUUAGUUGCCCAUAAAAAAUAUUUAAAAUACAAGAGUCCGGCUAUGAUGCUAUCAAUAGCACGAGACAUUUGGUGCUAUCAAGUUUUCUACCGUUAGAUUUACCUCUUUUAUUAUUUUCAUCCGUUUGAUUAUACUAUUCAACUAACCACCCACUCAACCCUAGAGAGCCAACAUCAUCCUAACCGCACAUCUUUCAAUCCAAUAGUAGAAAACUUAAUAGCACCAAGUCACUGGUGCUAUUAAUAGUAUGCCAGCCUAGUUCAAAAUACAAUUCAAAUUAAAAUAUGAAAUUAAAUUACACGCUCAAAGAUAAAAUUCAAAUAUAAACUUUAAAU
rnacentral:lncRNA from 1 species